AGUCUAGCUAGCUGUCUGGAUUUACCCUGAAGAGAUCUGAGGAGCAGUUUACCAUAGUCCUCACAAAUCUACCGUAGUUUAGAGAAUGCCAACACAAAGAAAGUGGAAGGGGACGGAUAUCCGGCGGAAUUUCCAGCGGCACCUGAACAAUCCUGAAAAUGAAACAUCG